GUGAAAGUAAGUUUAUUAAGAAAGUGAAGGGAUGAAGAAUGGCUCCCCGACCAAGGACACUUACUGUUACUUCUUCAUUAUGCGCUGAACAAGGGGUGGAUUUUUCAUGAAUUUUCCAGGAAAGGGGUGCAAAAUUCCCAGAACUGUGGGCUCCUCCCCUUUUUAGGCCAUAGAGGGUAGCUUCCCGACGUUGCCGUGGCCUCUGUAAACUGCCACCGUGCUGGUAGGAGUGUCUCUUAGAUGCUAAUGCAUUCGAAUUAGCGUGUAAUGAGCAGUGAGGACAACCAGAGGUCACUUUCAUGCCGCCUUGGUUUUGGUGGGUACUGGGUAUUGGAUGGCUUCCUGACCACAACUUGUUUUAUUAAUAAGGUUUUAACGACCUGCCUCUUGCGCGGUCGUCCCGUCUCACCUUGUGACUGAGAAUCCCUAAGCUCCUGGGAAUGCAGCGCAGCAGGCCUCAGCCUCAUCAGACCCAGCCCCUGUUCAAGAUGGAGUCACUCUGGUUCAAACGCCCCUGACAGAACCAGGGGCAGUGAGCUUUGCCGUGUACACAGCCAGGGCGCUGGGCCCCACCUGGGAAGCUGCUCCUGGCAGGCAUUGCCCUACCUCCCAGGAGGAUCACCUUGCUUACUGAGCCCUUCCACAGCACAGGCCACAAAAGGAGCCCCUUUCCCGUGUCCUGGACGAGGAUCUGGGAACCCACCCCAGACAAGCCAUGGCUAGGCAAGGCUCUGGGGAUUGGCCUGACUCAGGGUCUCAGUCCCAGCAGCCGUUCCAGGGUGGAUUCUGGGGGCCCCAAGGGAGGCAGCCCUAGCGCCUGGUUAGGGACCCGGAGAGGUCAGGUGAGGCCCCCAACACCAGGCAGGAGAGGUGGUCCUGGCAGGUUGCCCGGAGCAUGCCCUCUGGGAGGUCCUCAGGGCUUGUGUUGACCACCAGGGCCGGUGCCUGCUUCCGACAGCGUGGCGGCCGUGCAGGACUGUGCCUCAGGUGCUAGGAUUGUGUAGAAUCCUGAGUUUCUGGAACCAUCUGCCUGUUGCACCAAUACCGGCUCCCUCCCCCACACCCUUCAGCAGCUGCUGAGGCUGAGGUGCCAAAAGGAGGGGCCCAGGAAUGCCCCUGUCUGCAAGUGGUGCCAGGCCCCAGCCUCUGGGUGACUCUUGGCAAGGAGCAGGACGGCCGGGAGGGACGGUGUCCCUGCACAUCCCCAUGGGCCCCUGCAAGUCCCCGUGAGUCCGAGCGUGUCCCCACGUGUCCCCGUGAGUCCCCUAGCGAUCCGGGACGUCCCUGUGAGUCCCUGUGUGUCCCUGCGAAUACAGGCGCUGAGCUCUGAGUCUCUGUUUUGCUUUGAUUAGGCCUCCAUCUCCUAGUCCAGGCCUUGCUACCCUCCCCCAGGCCUCACCCUGGAAACACCACCCCCUCCCUGUUCUGUGUCCUGGGACCCCAUCUCCUAGGUGGGCCCCCAGCAGCCCUCAGACCACCCUCCGACGUGAGGUUCUGUCAGGGAACCCUGUGCUACUCCAAUGUUGUCCCCAGGGCUUACUCCCUGAGCUGCCUCCCGGCUCAGACUGGCCCAGCCGCUCCCCUUGGCCGGAAGGAGACUGCAUGGGCUGUGCUGAGCUCAGCCUCCUCCUCUUUCCGCUUCUGCCACCCUCCCACCACCCGCCCACCUGCGUCUGUGCUGGGUUUCCCUGGCAGGAGCUCUGUGCACCUGUCCAGGUGUGUCUGCUGGAAGCUCCCGCUGCUCCCUCUGGGCAGGCACAGGUGCACCUGCAGGCCCAGGGAAGAAUGCAGCACGCCCUCCCUCCCUGCUGCCCCCACCCUGGCUAAGGAGGUGAGGGGACCUGCGCGGGCAGCCGCCCUGGCUAAGGAGGUGAGGGGACCUGCGCGGGCAGCCGCCCUGGCUAAGGAGCUCAAGCUCUGGGAAGGCCAGGUCUUUGCUCCUCUGCCCAGACGCAGAUGCAGGUGCACCCUGGGUCCUCCUGUCCUCGCUGGGUGUUGAGCGGAGACAGGAGGUGCCUGCCCAGGUCCCUUGUCCUGAGAGUGCCUCCUCCCAGCCAGCCUCGCCCGGUGGGGUCCUGCAGGUUACGACUGAAGCGAGUGGUGCGGCUUCUGGAAGAUUCUGGAGGGUCCUGGGCUGCCCGGGAGGCUGCUUGAUGGGGGUGGUGGAAAAGGGGCCCCCACAGCUAAUACUCCUGUAAACCAAACGGGUGCAAUUCUGGGUGAUUUUCCGCAGAUUUUUCUGAACCACAUCCAGAAGUAAAGUCGUGGAGGAGAUAUCAAAA